CUCUCUUUCACCCGCUAGCGGAUUGCUCUCUAUCGUUGCUGAUCCGCCACCUCUGCCUCUCCCCUUUUUUCGCACCUCCUCGCAAACUGCCUCUGCUUUUCCGUAACUAAGCCCUGGUGCUGCUACAUAGGCGUUUUUCCAUACCCCUAUCAGCUCGAGAAACGAGAACUGCGAAGCCCAAGAGAAACAAAAAAUGUCUGCCGAGGAGUUUGAGCGCUACACAAAGUUGGUCUCCGACCUGCGGUCGAACCUGUCGAUCCCGCAGAAGAUCGAGAUGUACGGCCUGUGGUGUGUGGCGACGCGGGGCAAGUGCACGUUGAAACAGCCGUCCCGCGCCAACGUGGUAAAGUACGGCAAGUGGGCUGCGUGGAAGAAGUACGAGCCCCUUGGUCAGCAGAAGGCCCGCGAGCUCUUUGUCGAGAAGGCAAAGGCUAUCGUAGCCAAGUACCCAUCCAGGUUGUGAUGGCAUGACCACGGCGGGGAAACGCCUGGGCGUGCGACCGAGAAUGGCCCUCCCCUCGCCUCUUUCUCGCCUUCCCUCUCUUUGCCUGCAG
rnacentral:misc_RNA from 1 species